ACUCCCCCAAAUGACAUCCUUGCACUACACUGGACCUGACGAGGAGGGGAUCCAGCUAGCUGUCUGAUGGCACUUCCACAUGUAUAAGCUUUGAGCUUAGGUUGUAUUUCUGAGGGGAGCAUACUUAUUAUUACCUUAAUUGGGUUUGACUUUUGGCUACUGUAUUGCUGCCACAACUUACCCGCGAAAUAGAAAGAGAGUCAUGUUUGAUAAGGAUAUGUACCGAGUAAUGAGUAUGUACAGAAGUGUUGGUUCUUGGUUCUUGCAUGGAGGUGAGCAAUUAUGGGUUGCAAACGUUGUUGCUGCCCAUCACCUGGUCCAAUUGAAGCACAACCAGUAGGUUGCCUUGAAUAAAGGAGUUCUCAAAGAUGAUGUCUUUUAGCACGACCAUUUUUAUUGAUUUAGUUUCUGUACAAUUUCGGGGCAUCCAAACUUGGAAA